UUAAGCGACUAAGCGUACACGGUGGAUGCCCUGGCAGUCAGAGGCGAUGAAGGACGUGCUAAUCUGCGAUAAGCGUCGGUGAGGUGAUAUGAACCGUUAUAACCGGCGAUUUCCGAAUGGGGAAACCCAGUGUGAUUCGUCACACUAUCAUUAACUGAAUCCAUAGGUUAAUGAGGCGAACCGGGGGAACUGAAACAUCUAAGUACCCCGAGGAAAAGAAAUCAACCGAGAUUCCCCCAGUAGCGGCGAGCGAACGGGGAGGAGCCCAGAGCCUGAAUCAGUGUGUGUGUUAGUGGAAGCGUCUGGAAAGGCGCGCGAUACAGGGUGACAGCCCCGUACACAAAAAUGCACAUAUUGUGAGCUCGAUGAGUAGGGCGGGACACGUGGUAUCCUGUCUGAAUAUGGGGGGACCAUCCUCCAAGGCUAAAUACUCCUGACUGACCGAUAGUGAACCAGUACCGUGAGGGAAAGGCGAAAAGAACCCCGGCGAGGGGAGUGAAAAAGAACCUGAAACCGUGUACGUACAAGCAGUGGGAGCCUCUUAAUGGGGUGACUGCGUACCUUUUGUAUAAUGGGUCAGCGACUUAUAUUCUGUAGCAAGGUUAACCGAAUAGGGGAGCCGAAGGGAAACCGAGUCUUAACUGGGCGUUAAGUUGCAGGGUAUAGACCCGAAACCCGGUGAUCUAGCCAUGGGCAGGUUGAAGGUUGGGUAACACUAACUGGAGGACCGAACCGACUAAUGUUGAAAAAUUAGCGGAUGACUUGUGGCUGGGGGUGAAAGGCCAAUCAAACCGGGAGAUAGCUGGUUCUCCCCGAAAGCUAUUUAGGUAGCGCCUCGUGAAUUCAUCUCCGGGGGUAGAGCACUGUUUCGGCAAGGGGGUCAUCCCGACUUACCAACCCGAUGCAAACUGCGAAUACCGGAGAAUGUUAUCACGGGAGACACACGGCGGGUGCUAACGUCCGUCGUGAAGAGGGAAACAACCCAGACCGCCAGCUAAGGUCCCAAAGUCAUGGUUAAGUGGGAAACGAUGUGGGAAGGCCCAGACAGCCAGGAUGUUGGCUUAGAAGCAGCCAUCAUUUAAAGAAAGCGUAAUAGCUCACUGGUCGAGUCGGCCUGCGCGGAAGAUGUAACGGGGCUAAACCAUGCACCGAAGCUGCGGCAGCGACACUAUGUGUUGUUGGGUAGGGGAGCGUUCUGUAAGCCUGUGAAGGUGGCCUGUGAGGGUUGCUGGAGGUAUCAGAAGUGCGAAUGCUGACAUAAGUAACGAUAAAGCGGGUGAAAAGCCCGCUCGCCGGAAGACCAAGGGUUCCUGUCCAACGUUAAUCGGGGCAGGGUGAGUCGACCCCUAAGGCGAGGCCGAAAGGCGUAGUCGAUGGGAAACAGGUUAAUAUUCCUGUACUUGGUGUUACUGCGAAGGGGGACGGAGAAGGCUAUGUUGGCCGGGCGACGGUUGUCCCGGUUUAAGCGUGUAGGCUGGUUUUCCAGGCAAAUCCGGAAAAUCAAGGCUGAGGCGUGAUGACGAGGCACUACGGUGCUGAAGCGACAAAUGCCCUGCUUCCAGGAAAAGCCUCUAAGCAUCAGGUAACAUCAAAUCGUACCCCAAACCGACACAGGUGGUCAGGUAGAGAAUACCAAGGCGCUUGAGAGAACUCGGGUGAAGGAACUAGGCAAAAUGGUGCCGUAACUUCGGGAGAAGGCACGCUGAUAUGUAGGUGAAGCGACUUGCUCGUGGAGCUGAAAUCAGUCGAAGAUACCAGCUGGCUGCAACUGUUUAUUAAAAACACAGCACUGUGCAAACACGAAAGUGGACGUAUACGGUGUGACGCCUGCCCGGUGCCGGAAGGUUAAUUGAUGGGGUUAGCGGUAACGCGAAGCUCUUGAUCGAAGCCCCGGUAAACGGCGGCCGUAACUAUAACGGUCCUAAGGUAGCGAAAUUCCUUGUCGGGUAAGUUCCGACCUGCACGAAUGGCGUAAUGAUGGCCAGGCUGUCUCCACCCGAGACUCAGUGAAAUUGAACUCGCUGUGAAGAUGCAGUGUACCCGCGGCAAGACGGAAAGACCCCGUGAACCUUUACUAUAGCUUGACACUGAACAUUGAGCCUUGAUGUGUAGGAUAGGUGGGAGGCUUUGAAGUGUGGACGCCAGUCUGCAUGGAGCCGACCUUGAAAUACCACCCUUUAAUGUUUGAUGUUCUAACGUGGGCCCCUUACCGGGGUUGCGGACAGUGUCUGGUGGGUAGUUUGACUGGGGCGGUCUCCUCCUAAAGAGUAACGGAGGAGCACGAAGGUUGGCUAAUCCUGGUCGGACAUCAGGAGGUUAGUGCAAUGGCAUAAGCCAGCUUGACUGCGAGCGUGACGGCGCGAGCAGGUGCGAAAGCAGGUCAUAGUGAUCCGGUGGUUCUGAAUGGAAGGGCCAUCGCUCAACGGAUAAAAGGUACUCCGGGGAUAACAGGCUGAUACCGCCCAAGAGUUCAUAUCGACGGCGGUGUUUGGCACCUCGAUGUCGGCUCAUCACAUCCUGGGGCUGAAGUAGGUCCCAAGGGUAUGGCUGUUCGCCAUUUAAAGUGGUACGCGAGCUGGGUUUAGAACGUCGUGAGACAGUUCGGUCCCUAUCUGCCGUGGGCGCUGGAGAACUGAGGGGGGCUGCUCCUAGUACGAGAGGACCGGAGUGGACGCAUCACUGGUGUUCGGGUUGUCAUGCCAAUGGCACUGCCCGGUAGCUAAAUGCGGAAGAGAUAAGUGCUGAAAGCAUCUAAGCACGAAACUUGCCCCGAGAUGAGUUCUCCCUGACUCCUUGAGAGUCCUGAAGGAACGUUGAAGACGACGACGUUGAUAGGCCGGGUGUGUAAGCGCAGCGAUGCGUUGAGCUAACCGGUACUAAUGAACCGUGAGGCUUAACCU
rnacentral:rRNA from 1 species